rnacentral:rRNA from 1 species
CAAAUUGAGAGUUUGAUCCUGGCUCAGGAUGAACGCUGGCGGCGUGCCUAAUACAUGCAAGUCGAACGCUUUGUGGUUCAACUGAUUUGAAGAGCUUGCUCAGAUAUGACGAUGAACAUUGCAAAGAGUGGCGAACGGGUGAGUAACACGUGGGAAACCUACCUCUUAGCAGGGGAUAACAUUUGGAAACAGAUGCUAAUACCGUAUAACAAUGACAACCGCAUGGUUGUUAUUUAAAAGAUGGUUCUGCUAUCACUAAGAGAUGGUCCCGCGGUGCAUUAGCUAGUUGGUAAGGUAAUGGCUUACCAAGGCGAUGAUGCAUAGCCGAGUUGAGAGACUGAUCGGCCACAAUGGGACUGAGACACGGCCCAUACUCCUACGGGAGGCAGCAGUAGGGAAUCUUCCACAAUGGGCGAAAGCCUGAUGGAGCAACGCCGCGUGUGUGAUGAAGGGUUUCGGCUCGUAAAACACUGUUGUAAGAGAAGAAUGACAUUGAGAGUAACUGUUCAAUGUGUGACGGUAUCUUACCAGAAAGGAACGGCUAAAUACGUGCCAGCAGCCGCGGUAAUACGUAUGUUCCAAGCGUUAUCCGGAUUUAUUGGGCGUAAAGCGAGCGCAGACGGUUAUUUAAGUCUGAAGUGAAAGCCCUCAGCUCAACUGAGGAAUUGCUUUGGAAACUGGAUGACUUGAGUGCAGUAGAGGAAAGUGGAACUCCAUGUGUAGCGGUGAAAUGCGUAGAUAUAUGGAAGAACACCAGUGGCGAAGGCGGCUUUCUGGACUGUAACUGACGUUGAGGCUCGAAAGUGUGGGUAGCAAACAGGAUUAGAUACCCUGGUAGUCCACACCGUAAACGAUGAGUGCUAGGUGUUUGAGGGUUUCCGCCCUUAAGUGCCGCAGCUAACGCAUUAAGCACUCCGCCUGGGGAGUACGACCGCAAGGUUGAAACUCAAAGGAAUUGACGGGGACCCGCACAAGCGGUGGAGCAUGUGGUUUAAUUCGAAGCAACGCGAAGAACCUUACCAGGUCUUGACAUCCCUUGACAACUCCAGAGAUGGAGCGUUCCCUUCGGGGACAAGGUGACAGGUGGUGCAUGGUUGUCGUCAGCUCGUGUCGUGAGAUGUUGGGUUAAGUCCCGCAACGAGCGCAACCCUUAUUACUAGUUGCCAGCAUUCAGUUGGGCACUCUAGUGAGACUGCCGGUGACAAACCGGAGGAAGGUGGGGAUGACGUCAAAUCAUCAUGCCCCUUAUGACCUGGGCUACACACGUGCUACAAUGGCGUAUACAACGAGUUGCCAACCCGCGAGGGUGAGCUAAUCUCUUAAAGUACGUCUCAGUUCGGAUUGUAGGCUGCAACUCGCCUACAUGAAGUCGGAAUCGCUAGUAAUCGCGGAUCAGCACGCCGCGGUGAAUACGUUCCCGGGUCUUGUACACACCGCCCGUCACACCAUGAGAGUUUGUAACACCCAAAGCCGGUGGGGUAACCUUCGGGAGCCAGCCGUCUAAGGUGGGACAGAUGAUUAGGGUGAAGUCGUAACAAGGUAGCCGUAGGAGAACCUGCGGCUGGAUCACCUCCUUU